GCCCCGUGCACCUGCCGGCGGACACAGCACCUACCUCGAGGUCGGAGUUGAUGGAGGAGACCUGGGAGGAGCUACUGGAGGACACGCACGCCCGGAUGACCUGAACCGGAGGGCUCCAGCACCGAAGAGGACAGAAAGCAGAUGAUCACCCGUGUAGGGCAGGUCAGCUUGCAAAGCCCUUCGCAGCCUGUGAGAAGACAAGGCAAAGGCCAAAUGCAGUGACUCAUUAAGAAGUGUCUGUUGGAAGCUACCCUGGGCAGACCCCAAGCACCUGGAACACAGUGAGAAAUGAAACAGACAAGGGCACUGCCCUCACACUGCUGAUGCUCUGCUGGGGGACCAGGCAGCAACCUGGCAGGGCAACGUGAUCCUUUUUCAUAUGCAUCUGCACGCACACAGAGUCGCCCGUCCUCGACUGGAGACCACUGAAGGCAGGCACUGUGCCCGGUCAGUUCUAGAAUCUGCACAGAGCCCGGCACAGAGUGGAACCGGCACAAGCUUGGUGAAUGUAUUAUAAGUGGGCACACUGGUGCCAAGGCACCAAAGCUGUGAGUAGAAUAAGCAUCGUCUUUGAAAGUCUCCUUGAAAUAGAAGACAGAUCCGCCUCUGAACAAUUCCAAAAAGAACAUUCCUCCUCUGGGCAGCCUCGAGCAGCUGAGAGCACCUUACAUCACCCCUGAUGCAAACAUUUCCCUUUGGGACAAGGGUCCGAGUACACUGCUGCCCCUUCUCAGGAAAGUCCCAGUCCCACAUACUUAAGGCUACUCAUCCCAUCUCAGUCACUUCCAGCGCCCGCUCGGCCUGAGGCAGCCCAGGUGGUUCGCUUGGAGCCCCUGGACUUGCACACUGAGUAUCACUGUCCAUCCCCAAAGCCCCGCCCCCUCCCCUUCCUGACCUCUGCCCAUGCUGCCCUUUCACCUGGAAUGCCCUUCCUUGCGGUCCCAGUUCCGACGUCACAUCCUUCUCUGACACCUGCAGCCCCUCCCCUCCUCUGGUUGCCCAUUGUGAGCCCACACCCCCUUACUAGCAGCGCUAACUAACUUUUAGGCCCCUGACUCCCCGCUCUGGGUGAAACCAGGGAGCUCGCCCAUUCAUCUGUGCUUGGCAGGGUCCAGGCUCGGGUGUGACAGGGAGAGGCACUCAGCACACUGAUGGAUGAAAUGAGUGGAUGGGUGAAGACAGGAACAGAUGGCAGCACACUUACCUGAACUGGACUUGACUUUGGAGCUGCAGACUGGGAAGAGAAUGGACACAAAGCUCACCAGGUCAACAGCUGCUAGGUAGACACCAGUGAAGACCUGGGAGCAAAGGAAAGAGGGUCUUGGUGUUCAAACACCUUUCAGCAACUGUAGCACCGCUCAUUCUGGCUCUCCUCUACCACGUGUGUUCCACUGAUGUAGGGCUUCCAGGGACACCUCCAACCCCAGGAAAGGUUGGUUAUCACCUCCAUUUGACUAACGAGGAGAUGGGGUGCUUAAGUAACCAAUCCCAUUAUGCAGAUGCCCAUCAGAGAGAUGGGAUAAGAACUCAGCCCGCCCCACUUUCCACUGGACAGCAUGGUCUCUGCUGUGCAACUUUGGUCCAGCCACUGAACUUCCCUGGGCCUCGGUUUCCUCAUCUAGAAAGCAGGGAUAAUAACAGUGCCUCCCUCCUUGUUAAGGAGAUUGUAUGGGCCGAUACAUGGGAAGUUGCUUAGGCCAGCGACUGACGAAAGUAAAAUGCACCCACCCAUACAUGCUCUAGCUACUGACAGUACAGUUGGCACUUGAACAACUCAGGGGUUGGGGCACCGACUCCUCUGCAGUGGAAAUUCCAAGUAUAACUUUACAGUCAGCCCUUUGUAUCCGAGCUUCUGCAUCCAUGGUUCAACCAACUGUGGAUCCUGUAGUGCCGUAGUGUGUAUUUAUUGAAAAAAAAUCCAUGUAUAUGUGGACACACACAGUUCAAAGCCAUGUUGUUCAAGGGGCCACUGUACUUAGUGCUCAAGAGCAUGCGAUCUGGGGUUUGAAUCCUGACUCUGUACUUACGAGAGGGUGACUUUAGCAAGGUUAUUUAACCUCGCUAUGCCUCAGUUUCCACAUGUAUAAAACAGGGAUAAUGAGAGCACCCACGUCAUAGGUCGAUUUGAGGAUUAAAUGAGUUAAUACAUGAAAAGCCCUUCAUGUCAAGUACAUAGUUAAGUAUUUAAUAAAUAUCAGCUAUUAUUAUUGGA